rnacentral:rRNA from 1 species
AGCGAACGCUGGCGGCAGGCCUAACACAUGCAAGUCGAACGGAUCCUUCGGGAUUAGUGGCGGACGGGUGAGUAACACGUGGGAACGUGCCCUUUGGUUCGGAACAACUCAGGGAAACUUGAGCUAAUGCCGGAUGUGCUCUUCGGUGGAAAGAUUUAUCGCCAUUGGAGCGGCCCGCGUCUGAUUAGCUAGUUGGUGAGGUAAAGGCUCACCAAGGCGACGAUCAGUAGCUGGUCUGAGAGGAUGAUCAGCCACAUUGGGACUGAGACACGGCCCAAACUCCUACGGGAGGCAGCAGUGGGGAAUCUUGCGCAAUGGGCGAAAGCCUGACGCAGCCAUGCCGCGUGAAUGAUGAAGGUCUUAGGAUUGUAAAAUUCUUUCACCGGGGACGAUAAUGACGGUACCCGGAGAAGAAGCCCCGGCUAACUUCGUGCCAGCCGCCGCAGUAA